UCGAGAAUCUUCCGCAAUGGGCGAAAGCCUGACGGAGCGACGUCGCGUGAUGGACGAAGUGCUUCGGCACGUAAACAUCUUUUAUGUGGGAUGAAAUUAUUGACAGUACCACAUGAAUAAGGGGCUCCUAACUCUGUGCCAGCAGGAGCGGUAAUACAGAGGCCCCAAGCAUUAUCCGGAAUCACUGGGCGUAAAGGGUGUCGAGGCGGUCGUAUUAGUCGUUUGUAAAAUCCGUGGGCUCAACCUACGGCGCGCAAGCGAAACGGUACGACUUGAGGUUGGGAGAGGUGUGUGGAACUCACGGUGUAGGGGUGAAAUCCGUUGAUAUCGUGGGGAACACCAAAGGCGAAGGCAGCACACUGGCCCAAAUCUGACGCUCACACACGAAAGCUAGGGUAGCGAACGGGAUUAGAUACCCAUGUAGUCCCUGAGCGGGCUGGCAAGGCGCAU
rnacentral:rRNA from 1 species